rnacentral:misc_RNA from 1 species
GAUGAAGAACGCAGUGAAAUGCGAUAAUUAAUGUGAAUUGCAGAAUUCAGUGAAUCAUCGAGUCUUUGAACGCACAUUGCGCCCCCUGGUAUUCCGGGGGGCAUGCCUGUCCGAGCGUCAUUGCUGCCCUCAAGCACGGCUUGUGUGUUGGGCUUCCGUCCCUGGCAACGGGGACGGGCCCAAAAGGCAGUGGCGGCACCAUGUCUGGUCCUCGAGCGUAUGGGGCUUUGUCACCCGCUCCCGUAGGUCCAGCUGGCAGCUAGCCUCGCAACCAAUCUUUUUAACCAGGUUGACCUCGGAUCAGGUAGGGAUACCCGCUGAACUUAAGCAUAUCAAUAAGCGGAGA